UCUGUUCCAAUGAAGAAACCAAUUUUUGGCUUUUCAUAUUUUCCUUUAAGCACUUCUGAGACUCAAAUUAUCUAUUUUUAUCACAUUCUCUCUUCCUCUGCAGGACUCAGCCCUAAACAAACGUACAUCAGCUACAGCAACCACGCAAUCUAGAAGUGAGAUAGCGGAUGGUUUGAAGACCCCCACAGACAUGUUUCCAUUAAUGAAGCUUAUGUGAAGUCACACAGGGAGCAUCUGGGGAGGCCGAAACUGUUGAGACGGUGUGUCGGAAUGACGGUCUGUCACCCAGACUAUUCCAUUACAGCUUGCUCUAUCUAUUCCAGAUGUCAUUGUUAAAGUGAUUCACACUAAUUAAGGACAACAUGUCAGUGUCUGCUGUUUCAUUGACGCUAACACUAUGUGGUGGCUUUAAAAAGAAAAAAAAAGAAGAAGAAAAAAGUAUUUAAAAAAAUAAUUGGAGCUUUUUCCUCUUGUUUCCUCCUUGGUGAUGACAACAGCAAAGACAAGUGACCAUUGUUUACAGAUGUUAAGCAUGCUGGUUUUGACAUCCUGUGCUGUGUUGUUUUUUCUUUCUUUAUUUCUUUUCCUUUUUGCAAAAAAAAAAA